CUGAAUCUGAAUCUUUCCAUGAAUCUAAGUGAUUCAAAGGAUCAUUAAGCUGUUUUUUGAAUUCUAGUAGGGCCUGAGUUUCUACUGGUAAGCACAUGAAUGGCUGGACAUGGAAUGAGAAAAUCGAUAUAAAAAUUAAAAUUUGGAGAAAAGGAGAUUUUGGCUGGCUGGCCAUUGAAAGCACUGGAAGGGGCAAAACAGUCAUUUGACAAGAGGGAGACAAAGCCAGUGAGGACCUCCAUUAUUGCCAUGGGUCUCCAUCCUUUGGAAUUACAGAUGUAGCUGAUAACAAACAUUAGCAAACACAAACUUUGCAUUUAAUAAAUGAAAUUAAACAACUAAAUAUACUAAUAGUUCAUAAUUCUACUGCUAGAAAAUAAAUCAUUAUGGAUAUGGAACUCUGUGUCCGCCAGAAGCAUAUACUGCUUUGAUAAUUAUCAUUUUAUUUUCAUAUUUGCGUAGCAACAAGAACAAAGUAAUUCUAAUUUAAAAUCCUUUUUGGUUAACAUAUUCUUACUGUAACAGAGAAUUACUUUCUAAGCAUCUUGUAAACCAUAAGACUGACGUUAAGAUGUCAAAUUGUAUCUAGUUGGGGAUUAAACUUAUGAAACAAGUCUCCCUAUUAAGUUUUAACAACUCCAAGGAGAAAAACGAAAACUUAUUGACCAAAAGAAGAAACCUUCUAAAUCAUUAAACUGGUUUGAUAACAUUAGUCCCGGGAAGAAAAUUAAGACAAAACAGUGAUGAUGACAAAGCUCCAAAAGAGAUUAUUUUGAGCAGAAACACAGGAGGAUGGUGAAUUUUACUCAUUUUUAUGCACAAUCAUCUACUUAUUCAUCUAUUUAACACAGAAAAUUUACAAAUUAAUUGACAUAUACAUGUUCCUUAUACAAGAAAACACACAAAAUACAGUAAAAAAUUUAGAAGAAAAGUUGAAACGAAAAGAAGGGUUACCUGUAAUUCUGAUGAUUGUAGAACUUUUAAGCUAAUUAUGAAAAGAAGUUUCCAUUUCUAAUCAGGAUUAAUGAAAAACGAUACAAAGAAACCUGAGGGAGAAUUCUUGGGAUUUGAGGAGGUAAUUAUUUGUCUAUAAUUAAAGAAUGCAGAAGUUAAAGUGGAAGAAAAAUGAUAAGAUAAAAGACAAACCAAGGCCAGAAUGAGAGAAGGAUAAGGAAAUGAAUUACAUAAAAUUUAUUUUGAAAUUAGAAGAGAACAAUAUCUGAGAUCACCUCUGUUUAUGGAGGAGAAAAAUGACAAAAAGGCUUUUAAAAACAGUUUUAUGAACAGAAGUCCACAACUGCCAAAAAGCUUAUACUUGAUGAUGAUUUUUCUUUUCUUUUGAUUAGAGAAUGCAAUACGUGGGGGAUGGGAUGGCCGGUUGAAAAUAAUUCAAUUAGCACUACCAAUUUAAAAGUAAUUUUGAACCUUACUCUUAUCCUUGUGUCGAAUUUCUUAAGCACGUCUCAUCAUUCAUAACGGAUCAUUGGAGUGUCUGAAAAUUAAUGCUCGCCACUCUUAAUUUGUCUUGUUUCUCGACUUUUCACGUCAAAAGUCCAUCUCAAGGGACUCGUGAUAAAGAUUUCCAUCAUCCCUAUAUUUUAGGCAAUUAUAAUCUUAUCAAUGGUAAUUUUUCAG
rnacentral:lncRNA from 1 species